CAACCUGCCGAUGACUCGGGGAUAGCCUUUCGAAAGAAAGAUUAAUACCCGAUGGCAUAGUUCUUCCGCAUGGUGGAACUAUUAAAGAAUUUCGGUCAUCGAUGGGGAUGCGUUCCAUUAGGUUGUUGGCGGGGUAACGGCCCACCGAGCCUUCGAUGGAUAGGGGUUCUGAGAGGAAGGUCCCCCACAUUGGAACUGAGACACGGUCCAAACCCCUACGGGAGGCAGCAGUGAGGAAUAUUGGUCAAUGGACGAGAGUCUGAACCAGCCAAGUAGCGUGAAGGAUGACUGCCCUAUGGGUUGUAAACUUCUUUUAUACGGGAAUAAAGUGAGGCACGUGUGCCUUUUUGUAUGUACCGUAUGAAUAAGGAUCGGCUAACUCCGUGCCAGCAGCCGCGGUAAUACGGAGGAUCCGAGCGUUAUCCGGAUUUAUUGGGUUUAAAGGGAGCGUAGGCGGACGCUUAAGUCAGUUGUGAAAGUUUGCGGCUCAACCGUAAAAUUGCAGUUGAUACUGGGUGUCUUGAGUACAGUAGAGGCAGGCGGAAUUCGUGGUGUGGCGGUGAAAUGCUAGAUAUCACGAAGAACUCCGAUUG
rnacentral:rRNA from 1 species